AUCGCUGAGCCACGAUGGGAACUCUCACUACAACAUGUAAUUACUUUUAUAAUUUCUGUUCAUUUUCCCCUUUUUCAAUGAAAUACACAGAGGUUUAAAAGGACAUUUGCUCAAGUUUUGAAAUAGGCUGUCUCUGAUAUGACAUACGGGGACUUUUUCUUUUCUUAUAUGAUUCUCUAUAUUUUCAGCUUUUUAAAAAUUUAUUUUUAUAAUAAGCCUUUAAGUAUUUCCAAUAAUAAAUAUCAAGUUAAAAAUAAAGACUAUAUCAUGAAACUUUUUGGCUGAGCUGCCUUUUAUUUUCUUUCCAAAACCAUGCUUUUAUGCCAAGACACAUACUUCUUAAGAUCAAGGUAAAAAAUAAAAGAUAAAAAUGGACUUCAGCCAAAACAUGUAGGAGGCUGUCCGAAAGCACUAUAGUUGCUUCUGAUUAAAACCAAACUGAACCAAACUUUCUUGAAAACAGGUUUCUAAAGUGACUCGAAAGUGACAGCAAACAGUUUCAAUUGAGGGCAGUUCCUAAGGCCUAGAGGAGCAAGAAUUAGAAGUUUGGAGAGUAAGUUUAUAGACUCUGGGGAUUCUUUUAGAGGUUCCGUGUGGUGUCCGAUGGGAAUUCUUCAUAAAUAAGGUCUAAAUUUCUAACUAUUACUCCUAAUGCUUAAGCAUAGGAAAAGCCUAAGUUUAGUAACAAUGAAGGAUGUUCCUCUCUAAAAAUCACUGGAGACCAAACUUGUAUGUCUGUUUACAGGUUUACCUCUUAUUUACCCCUGUUUAUCUUUGUUAUAACACAAAAUUUUGAGACUCUGAAAUUAGAAUUAGCAGCUGGUAUUAUAGUACAUUCAUAAAGAAUCACUAGUGAAAUAUCCUCACCUUAUGCAAAAAAGCUUGAGAAUCAUCUUCACUCUCUUUGUGAUAGGCAAGGAAGGAGGGAGAUUACCAAGAAUCGAAUGGAUAAAACUCCUGAAUAGGAGGAUGAAGCAGAAGGUAGGAGGAAGAUCUGCACCUAAGACUUGGUCAUUGAGGAAAUCACUUCUUGCUAUGCCAGAGCCAUAGCAACGAGGGAUCCGAGCCAUGUCUGCAACCUACACCACAGCUCACAGCAACGCUGGAUCCUUAACCCACUGGAGCAAGGCCAGGGAUCCAACCCUCAACCUCAUGGUUCCUAGUCGGAUUCGUUAACCACUGAGCCACGACGGGAACUCUGAUAAGUACUUUUUAAGCUCUUAUGUUUAGUGUAUAAUUUAACUUAAAUGGAAAAUGUUUAAAGCCAUUUAAUCAUAUCUUUUAAUACUUGUGCGAUCGCAAUAUAAUUGUUCUUCCUAUUGGUAAAGGUGAAAGAAAAUGAAAUUCAAUAUUAAAUACUUUAAGAAGUAUGGUUAUAGUGGGAGGCCAUUAUGUUAAAUUCUACUAGUAAGCAAAUCAUAAAAUUUUGUACAGCAACCAAAUACAGAAUGCAAUUAAGCAUACAACAGCUGUACAUGUAGUUAGUGGAAAUUUACUUUUAGCUUGAAAAAUAGGCAUAUAGAGGAGAGUCCUAAACUACGAUUUUACUUGAAUAAAUCCUCCUAAAAAAAUAUUAUCCAAGCUGAGAAGAAAUAUAAAAACCAAAAAGAAAAAACAAGAGGCAAAUAAGAAGUUCAAUGCAUAGGAAUGGGUAAAUGGGGAAAAACAAAAUCACCUCACAUGUGUUGAAAGCCAACUGGGAGCUGAUACUGUGAUGAGUACUUUGCAUAUGCUGCUAUAUUUAACUUCACAACAAUCCACUGAGAUAAGUAUUGUCAUAUACGUUUAUAGACAAGAUCAUAUAACUGGUAUGUAAUACUUCUGGGAUUCAAAUUUUAAAUAUCUCACUCCAAAACCUAUACUGGAAUGGUUAGCUAGACUUAAGAGAUGCAUGUAGUGAUUAAAAUUACAGUAAGAAUAUUUUGAGGAGGUACAAAAACUUUCCAAAUCACCAAUUCAAGAGACACUUUCUG
rnacentral:lncRNA from 1 species